AACGCACAUUGCGCCCGCCGGCAUUCCGGCGGGCAUGCCUGUCCGAGCGUCAUUAUCACCACUCAAGCACGGCUUGUUGUUGGGGCACCCGGCCGCCAGGCGGCCGGGGCCCCCAAGUACAUCGGCGGUCUCGCUGGGACCCUGAGCGCAGUAACUCGCGGCAACGCGCGCCUCGCUCGGUGGAUCACGGCGGGCUCCAGCCGCUAAACCCCAACUUACAGGUUGACCUCGGAUCAGGUAGGAAUACCCGCUGAACUUAA
rnacentral:misc_RNA from 1 species